rnacentral:rRNA from 1 species
GGCCAGACUCCUACGGGAGGCAGCAGUGAGGAAUAUUGGUCAAUGGUCGGGAGACUGAACCAGCCAAGCCGCGUGAGGGAUGAAGGUACAGAGUAUCGUAAACCUCUUUUGUCAGGGAACAAAGGCGGGGACGUGUCCCCGGAUGAGUGUACCUGAAGAAAAAGCAUCGGCUAACUCCGUGCCAGCAGCCGCGGUAAUACGGAGGAUGCGAGCGUUAUCCGGAUUUAUUGGGUUUAAAGGGUGCGUAGGCGGGCUUUUAAGUCAGCGGUAAAAAUUCGGGGCUCAACCCCGUCCGGCCGUUGAAACUGAUGAUCUUGAGUGGGCGAGAAGUAUGCGGAAUGCGUGGUGUAGCGGUGAAAUGCAUAGAUAUCACGCAGAACCCCGAUUGCGAAGGCAGCAUGCCGGCUCCACACUGACGCUGAGGCACGAAAGCGUGGGUAUCGAACAGGAUUAGAUACCCUCGUAU